rnacentral:rRNA from 1 species
UACGAAGGGGGCUAGCGUUGUUCGGAAUUACUGGGCGUAAAGCGCGCGCAGGCGGUUCUUUCAAGUCAGUGGUGAAAGCCCGGAGCUCAACUCCGGAACUGCCAUUGAAACUGUGGAACUUGAGGAUGAGAGAGGUGAGUGGAAUUCCCAGUGUAGAGGUGAAAUUCGUAGAUAUUGGGAAGAACACCGGUGGCGAAGGCGGCUCACUGGCUCAUUUCUGACGCUCAGGCGCGACAGCGUGGGGAUUCAACAGG